CGUGUUGGUUACUAGCGUACACAAAUUUUUUGUAAACGACUGAUCGACUCCAGCAAAUUCUCCGAUCAACGCCGCUGUACGUGACGUGUAGCAAGGAGGAGCAGAUACCUUCCUAGUUCUUCCAGUGCAGAUUAUUUUUUUAGCGAACAUGAUACAUUAAGCUUUGUGUUACGUUUUCUUUACUCAUGUGUGAUGUGGUAUUUGCGGGUUUUAAUUAAUUUGGAUCCAAAUAUUUUUAAGGCAACACAUUAAAAAGGUAGAUUAAGCAUUGCUGAAGGGCAGUAACUGGAGAUGGUAUACUGACCCAUAGGCAGCGUCAUCAAGUGUGUGAUGAUACAGAUGCAAGACCAACAAGGAUCAACUGGAAACGAUGCCCAUUAAAAUUAAAGGUGAUCCGGACGAUCCCCAAGCGAAGCCCAAGAACUUUGAACAGGAGCUGCGCCACACCCUGAAGGAACGGAAGAGGCGAGGGUUGACUACAGGGCUGAGUGACACGGCGGAGGAGAGCGACAGCGCUGACAGCCUUGAUGCUGAUGGAGACGGUAAAAAAAUGGAGCU